CACACGAGCAGCGACGCGAGCCAAGAGUAACAGUGCCCGUGAAAUGCAGAGCGGUUCGAAAAGUCCUCUCCGCGCCGGCCGCAUCCGAUUUUCGAGUUUUGAAUACCGAUCGCAACUAUUAUCAAUGGAUUGCGUCGAAAUUCAGGAUGGCAAAGAGAAUGAGGGAAAGAAGCUACCAUAAUUUUUCAAAAAUUAUCGCCAUGCAAUGCAGGCCUCGCACAUGACAUACAUAUGACAGAUUUGUGCCCUCGCGCAGCGAGUAAACAAGGAUAUUAUGUGCAAGUCUUGCUGAGAUGAUCAUGGCUGAAAGAACAUCCUUGUAGGAGCUUAUCCCGAUGGUAACGAUUACAUAAUUAAUAGAUAAUAUGCAAAUUUCUCUGUGAGAUCAAAUGCUCGGCUAUUAAUCAAAGUUGAGAUUAGUACGUUCGUCGUUUCCGCCAAAGGAAACGAAAACAGAACAUGACUAUUAAUUGUGCAAUGCUGUGCACUUGAAAAACAUAUAUCAUUAUGCGCUCCAAGUGUAUGCAAUACGUGAUUAUAAUAGACAUUAAUGUACUCGCUAGAUGAAGCAGAUGCUAAUAAAAUUACAUCUACAAAAA